AUUGAACGCUGGCGGCAGGCUUAACACAUGCAAGUCGAGCGGAGCGAGGGUGCUUGCACCUUAGCUUAGCGGCGGACGGGUGAGUAAUGCUUAGGAAUCUGCCUAUUAGUGGGGGACAACAUUCCGAAAGGGAUGCUAAUACCGCAUAAGCCCUACGGGGGAAAGCAGGGGAUCUUCGGACCUUGCGCUAAUAGAUGAGCCUAAGUCGGAUUAGAUAGUUGGUGGGGUAAAGGCACACCAAGGCGACGAUCUGUAGCGGGUCUGAGAGGAUGAUCCGCCACACUGGGACUGGGACACGGCCCAGACUCCUACGGGAGGCAGCAGUGGGGAAUAUUGGACAAUGGGCGGAAGCCUGAUCCAGCCAUGCCGCGUGUGUGAAGAAGGCCUUUUGGUUGUAAAGCACUUUAAGCGAGGAGGAGGCUACUAGUAUUAAUACUACUGGAUAGUGGACGUUACUCGCAGAAUAAGCACCGGCUAACUCUGUGCCAGCAGCCGCCGUAA
rnacentral:rRNA from 1 species